GCUUAGCUACUGUGUGUAUGUUUUAUAGCAUGAAAAUCAUAAAAAAGGAAUGUCAGUGCAACCCAUCAUUAAUUAUUGUAAUGGAUCAGUAUUAUGAGAUACUUAUUAUAAGUGACUACGACAUUGUUAGGAUUAUAACCUAUCGUCAGUAUGAAAGAAAUUAAAAGUGGUUCAUAUAUUCAUUUGUAUAAAAGCGGCACAUGCAUUUUAUUUUAUCCUUAUAUUUCUCAUUAUGCGGUACACGAUAAUUGAGUUGCUGCAUGCAUAAAGAACUUAAAAUAUUACUUAAUACAAAAUAUCAGUAUAAUAUUUCGACCCC
rnacentral:lncRNA from 1 species